ensembl:misc_RNA Metazoa_SRP Metazoan signal recognition particle RNA
ACUGGGUGUGGUGGUAGAUGCCUGUAGGCCCAGAUACUCAGAAGGCUGAGAUGAGAGGAUUGCUUUAGCCCGGGAGUUCUGGGCUAUAAUGUGCUAGGCUGAUUGGGCAUUCACACUAAGGUCCACAUUAAUAUGGUGACCUUUCAGUAAUGGGGGACCACCAGGUUGCUUAAGCAGGGGUUACCUAGCCCAGGUCAGAAACAAAGGAGGUAAAAACUCUCAUGCCGAUCAGUACUGGGAUUGCACCUGUGAAUAGCCACCACACUCCAGCCUUGGCAACAUAACAAGAUUCUGUCUCUU